AUACUUAUCUGGAUGGGGUUAAUUGGUGACCAGGAAGGCCCAUGGCCUAGGUUAGUGACCUCAACUUAGGAGGGGUGCUACCCUAAGGUCGGCCCAAGUGGUAUAGCCUACAUCAUAAUUUGUGGCAGCGAAGGCCUGUGUUUGUGCGUACUCGGU
rfam:Helianthus annuus linkage group 9, whole genome shotgun sequence.